CACCCCCACCGCAUUCCACCUGGCUGUGGAUUCCAUACGUAUGGUUAUUUGACUCUUUGUGAAAUAAUAAUUGUAUAUAUAUAUAUAUUGGUAUGUACAUAUAAUAACCCGGAUGCUGUGUUCAGUAUAUACUGUAUACAUUGGUGACAGUGGAAAAAUGGGUGCCUGUGGCCACAUAUAGUGCACACUGCUGGCAGUAGUUGGACAGGUGCAGGGGGCCAGCGCGUGGUUAAAAGACUGUUGGAUCAAAUCCACGAGCCGGCUACACCGAGUCUCGUGCCUUCAGACAGCCGUUAAGAAAAAGGAGCUGCGCACUUACCUCGAGAGGUCAAGGAGAAGCGGGACUGUGUGGCUCCGGUCGCUGAAUCCUCAGUGCGGUACAGAGAGUGAAAUUCUCCGCAUCACCCGACAAGCAGCCCAGAGGAGAGAGAAUCUGACCCCGGCAGAAGACAACUAACCGAGCGGUGAGCCAGGCAGCGGUGUAGAGCGGAAGGACUGCUGACGGCUUGCAGACACGCCGGGAGGAGGUACGGAGGCGGGCUGGAAGGCGGAGCGGCAGCUGACUGACAGCCGGGAAGAAGAGCGGAGGUGCGGCUGACAGCCUGCGGACACGCCUGGAGGAGGUACGGAGGCGGGCUGGAAGGCGGAGCGGCAGCUGACUGACAGCCGGGAAGAAUAGCGGAGGUGCGGCUGACGGCCUGCGGACACGCCUGGAGGAGGUGCGGGGGCGGGCUGGAAGUCGGAGCAGCUGCUGACGGCCAGAGCCGGCCAGAGGGAACAGCUGUGGGCAGCCCUGUUACCCGAACAGGCGGUGCAGGAGCAGCAGCGGGAUCCCUAUUAAGGGGACCUGAUAUAGGAGAGAGUCAUUACUACCAGCAACAAGGGUUCCAGUAUAAUAAAUAUUGUUAAAAUGGGUUACACUGUUGUUGACACUAUUGGUUGUGUUGUUAGAGUUAAAUAAUCAUAUCUUUACAAGUGUCUUAAAUUCUUCUGUUGUAAAGAACCAACCUCAUUAAAUACAUUGUUUGAAAUCAUCA